UCUUUCUUUCUUUCUCUCUUUCUUUCUCUCUUUCUUUCUUUCUUUCUUUCUUUCUUCCUUAAAAAAAAAAAAACUCAACACUUUCUCUCUAGACUCUCUUUUCUUCUAGAGGGGGAAAAAGUAUACCUGUCUCCUCCAAACUCUCAUUUUCUCCUCCUCCUCUCCCUCCUGAAGUUUUGCAGCCUUCUGUAUUUACCUACCCUUCUUUAAAACUCCCCAGAUUCCGACGCUGGCACACAGACUGGGAAUCCGCUCCCUGGUGGAGAUGACAGGACUAGAGUCUGCAGGCAUGCCCACCCGACAGAAGAAAGUGAGGGGGUAUGAUCACUUUCAUUCAGAUUUUUUUUUCUAGGUGGGUAAGCCUGCUACUAGAAAAGGCCAAAUAUAAUGUUCUGCUGAGACAGCCGGCAGUCUAAAGUUUGUUUGUUCUCUAGUCCGUUUAGGGCUAAUGCUCAAGAAUCCAUUCUUCUCCCCCUGAUUCCCACCCCCUGCUCUUGAAUAUUCUUGGAAUCCAUAUUAUUCCGAUUACAUAUUAAGGAUUGAAGGAAAGUAAUAGCUUCAACCUUUAGUUAGAACGUCCAUUUUCCCAAACUAAGCAACUGCUUUUCCUUGGUUCCUUGUGGCUUUCAGGAAGGAAGAAAUGCCCUCCAAGCUAAGAGGAGUUAGAGAAACAUUCCUGGCCACGAAACCCUUUGCUGGGAUCUAUAACUUCAAGACUCUCCAAGUUUCCUCGACAGAAGUUUCUGGCUGAGGGAACCAACAUGUAACUGAGGCACAGUGACAAGUUAUUGUCCCGUGUGUGUGUGUGUGUGUGUGUGUGUGUGUGUGUGUGUGUGUGCGCGCGCGCGCGCGCGCGCUCUGGGGAAGCUCUCUUCCAAAGUGGAUUUUUUUUUUUUUUGGUGUAUAGAUACACUUCACAUCUGCCUCUUUUCAAAACAGCAAAGAAUUUUACUUUUGAUUCUCAAGGGGAUUUUUUUAAAUAACUGCCUGUUGCCAUGUCUUCUUUUUUUAAAUGGGAAAAAGUAAUUGAAUGCUGAUAUUUCCACUUUAGAAACUUCUUUUGUUGCAGCAGUGGAUGUGCCCGCGAUUUCCAGCAUUCUGCGGUUAGCAAUAUUAUCUUAAGUAACUUUUGGCGCCCUUCGUAAGACUUUUGGAUAUGGGACGAUUGUUUGCGCCCUCUAGGCAAGGGCUGGAUCCAAGUUCAGCACCAAAGCCCUCCACAUCCGCUCCUGCUUUCUCUCCUAUCUGUGCCAGCUCCCGCUCCCUCCCCCGCUCCGGAGGAGGGUGGAAGGCGGGGGAACACUACAAAGCCCAGUUCCAACUACAGCCUUUGCAAACUAGACUGAGAAAAAUACCGUAGAAGAGUUACAGUUACAGAAUGGCUUCUGGUAACUUUCUCUCCAACAGGCAUAAAUUUAAACACACAAAGAAACAGAUGUUCCUCAGAGGACAGACCCGGGAUAAAAAACAUUUCUAACUUUCUCCUGUCUUCUAGGUUGCAAAAGUAAAUCCUUGUCUAGAGUUCACAGAGAUACUAAGAGAGGGAGAGAAAGGAAGAUCUGAGAAAGAGGGGGAAGGGAAGGGGGAGCAAAAGAAGGGAGAAGAGUGUAGGAAACACAGGUGAUGUAUGAAAACUAGUUUAUUGCAAUCAUAUAAAUGACCCAUUGUUAGGAAGGGUAAAUCCUUAUUGGAAACAUUACUCCAGUCGUUUAUUUUGCAAGUGGUAGGAGGCUGCCUUGAAACCGGAUUGUCUUUGCAAAAAGGAGGUUCCUGCCAUGCUCUCUGCUAUCCAUAUUCUCCCUGGCACAGAGCCCAGCCUUGCAUUUACUGUUUUAUUUGCAGAAACGUUACCUUGCCAGCUUUAGUGAAAUCCUCUUAGAUGUAUAAAUUACGUCAAUAAAGUUUCACUUCUACAUAUAUC
rnacentral:lncRNA from 1 species